UCUCCCGGCCGUAGACCAUUUCGUUCCGACGCGAGUAAUUCCUCCCCACGGGCGGCGACUAGGGCGGCUAGGGUUCGUCGGGCGCCGCCGUGCCGGAGAUCGCCUCUCGCCGCCGACACCCGGAUCUCCGCCGCCGCCGGUCGCCCCAGGUUAUCCCGCUCCCGCAGUCACCAUCCCGUCUUCUCCGCCAGUCGCCUCACGCCCGGCCUGGACGCCCCGGAAUCCAUUGUCGGUCUCGCCCCGCCGACUGCCGUUGACGCCACUGGCUGAAGUAGGGAUACUUUAAGAGGCUUUUGGGAACAGGAACAGUCUGAGUUAAGAAAUGUCUUCUGGGAAGGGGAAGCGGAAGAUGGAAGAAAAGGGAGUGCCUCUGCAGGGAGAUCUAGACCCUGAUAAUGAUCCCAUGAAAUAUGCUUUGUCUGCUCCCAGGGUACAGAUUAUUCCCGGGCUGUGGCGCCGAAUUGUCAGACGACGGAGAAGCAAGAAUGAUGCCAAGCCCUGGGCAUGUCCCUGUGGAUAUGUAAAUAAACCUAUCCAGCAUCUGUUUUUUGAUCUCCCUCGAUUUAAGUGUGGAAGUAGAGAAUGCAAGGAAAUGAUCCCGGAUGACUAUGAAUUUAAGUUCUCACUUGUUGAGAAGCGAACGGUGUUUGUCUUCUCAAUAAAGUGAAAGACCAAGAUUCCAGACCACACUGCAUGGCAUAUGCCUCUGCAGUGAAUGCUGAUAUAACAAGUAAGGUCACAAGCGUACUUUUAGGAGAAGCAAUUCGUGAUGCAAAAUCUGAAAUAUGCAUGAGAAACUUUCUUGCAAAAAUUGAAGCUAAAGAAGCAAUUGCCAAGGAGUUUGGAUAUGAAUACACAUGAUGAUCUUGGCAUAAAAGAUUUGUGGAAAAUUAUUUCGAUCUUAGAGAAAGAUGGAGUUGAGACAGUGGAUGGUUCACACAAAGCCAGGAUAUCAGGGAUUACUCAUGUUCCACUGGAUUUCCCAGUGAUAUGCAAAGAGAUUGCGGAAGGACACCCACUAUUGGCCAUCAUAAGAACAGGAAAAGGAUUUGAUGACUUGCAAUAUAAUCAGAUUUAUAAACCACCAAAAGUAUCGAGAAUUGUGGAUGGUAAAUCUGCGGGGCUUCAUUGUAUUACACUUGUUGGAGGUGCCAUGCGCAAAGGUAGAAAAAUGCAUUAUAAGUUUGUCAAUACAUAUGGGGAGGAUUUCUGCAAACUCAGAAGCUUAAACAGAGAUGAUGGAAUAAAGGGUGGAUAGGAAAUGUCAUUGCUGAAGGGAUACUAAGGAAACCUGUCAAGUUUCUCCGGGAGGGACGAGAGGUUUUGAAGCAGUAGAAGUAAGGCCUGUUCCAGGAUGUAAUUACUCACCCAGCCACAAAGGGAAGUAGGGGGCAGUUCUGGUGUUCGAUGUUCCAGCAACCAAAUCACGAUGGAUGUAUGGUUAACCUGCUAUGACAGCCAUGAACUCGUUAAUUGGUGUAUGUAGCUAGCACUUCUCAUUAUCUUUUUUGCCUACUCUUCUUCUUGGGCAUGCAUUGUCCCUAUGAUUACCUGUGAUUCGUCUCUGCGGAUGGCGCAUUGAGAUUUCAAAUCUCGGGACGUACAACAGAUCUAGUAAUAGUUUGUUUGCUGUGCUGGUUCGUUAAACAUAUACUGGAGCUCCCAGAAUCACUGGACAUACCAGGCUUCAUUUAGAGUGUGUAGUCUCCAACUGUAAUACUUUCCUGUGGUUAGUGUUGUUUCUCUACAUGAUGAUAGCCUGAACAAGGAUACAUUCCUCAGUUCCAUGGGUGGGUGGAUGGUCGACACGUUUUCCAUCUCGGCAACAAAAGGUGUCUUUUUUUUUU